rnacentral:rRNA from 1 species
UACGUAGGUGACAAGCGUUGUCCGGAUUUACUGGGCGUAAAGGGCGCGCAGGCGGCUCUUCAAGUCAGAUGUGAAAGCCCCGGGCUCAACCUGGGAACUGCAUUUGAGACUGAAGAACUCGAGUUCGGGAGAGGAUGGCGGAAUUCCCAGUGUAGAGGUGAAAUUCGUAGAUAUUGGGAAGAACACCGGUGGCGAAGGCGGCCAUCUGGACCGAGACUGACGCUGAGGCGCGAAAGCGUGGGGAGCAAACAGG